UACGUAGGGUCCGAGCGUUGUCCGGAAUUACUGGGCGUAAAGCGCGCGUAGGUGGUUUGUUAAGUUGGAUGUGAAAUCCCCGGGCUCAACCUGGGAACUGCAUCCAAAACUGGCAAGCUAGAGUAUGGUAGAGGGUGGUGGAAUUUCCUGUGUAGCGGUGAAAUGCGUAGAUAUAGGAAGGAACACCAGUGGCGAAGGCGACCACCUGGACUGAUACUGACACUGAGGUGCGAAAGCGUGGGGAGCGAACAGG
rnacentral:rRNA from 1 species